UUAUAAGGUUAAGUUAAUAAGGGCGCACGGUGGAUGCCUUGGCACUAGAAGCCGAUGAAGGACGUGACUAACGACGAAAUGCCUUGGGGAGCUGUAAGUAAGCAAUGAUCCAGGGAUGUCCGAAUGGGGGAACCCGGCAGGUAAUGCCUGUCACUCACUACUGUUAAGGUAGUGAAGAGGAAGACGCAGUGAACUGAAACAUCUAAGUAGCUGCAGGAAGAGAAAGCAAAAGCGAUUGCCUUAGUAGCGGCGAGCGAAACGGCAGGAGGGCAAACCGAGGAGUUUACUCCUCGGGGUUGUAGGACUGCAAUGUGGACUUAAAGAGUAUAGAAGAACUACCUGGGAAGGUAGGCCAAAGAGAGUAAUAGCCUCGUAUUUAAAAUAUUUUUUAUACCUAGCAGUAUCCUGAGUACGGCGAGACACGCGAAAUCUCGUCGGAAUCCGGGAGGACCAUCUCCCAACCCUAAAUACUCUCUAGUGACCGAUAGUGAACCAGUACCGUGAGGGA
rnacentral:rRNA from 1 species